AAGGAGGUGGUCACUCAAGAGUAGUCUCAAAGAAUGGAUGAUGUGAUGGACCAUGUGGAGGAAGAUAGAGGAGCCAGAGAAAUGACUUAAUCUGGUCAGGAGGGAAGUUUGAUUCCUGUUGAUAUCUGGAUUGAUCAUAUUGAUGGCCAUGAAACAACAGUGACCUAGAAACCUAAAGGGUAUGCUGCUAAGAGGAGGAUUUGUACAUUCUAGGCUUUCAACCGCAGUCAGGUAUGUUGGAUGAAGAGUCAACAGAUUCUACCACAGCCACAUUGCCAACCCUUAGGCUCUCUGAUGACUCAAGUCAUACUAAAAAUGUUUAGUGUUUUAUUUUAUUUUUGUGUGUGUGUAAGUAAUGAUGAUAUGUUAGUGAGAAUGCAGUCUUAAUGUGAUUAUUCUUAUGUACUCAUACAAGUGCUUGCCUAAAAAUGUCAAUCCUUACUAUCUAUG